GUGGGGAAUAUUGGGCAAUGGGGGAAACCCUGACCCAGCGACGCCGCGUGAGGGAAGAAGGCCUUAGGGUCGUAAACCUCUGUUGUGUGGGAAGAAGAGCGUGACGGUACCACACGAGGAAGUCCCGGCUAACUACGUGCCAGCAGCCGCGGUAAUACGUAGGGGACGAGCGUUGUCCGGAUUUACUGGGCGUAAAGGGCGCGUAGGCGGUCAUUUAAGUCAGCUGUGAAAUGGUCCGGCUCAACCGGAUCAUGCGGUUGAAACUGGAUGACUGGAGUGCUGGAGAGGCAAGUGGAAUUCCCAGUGUAGCGGUGAAAUGCGUAGAUAUUGGGAAGAACACCGGUGGCGAAGGCGACUUGCUGGCCAGCAACUGACGCUGAGGCGCGAAAGCCAGGGGAGCAAACGGGAUUAGAAACCCUAGUAGUCC
rnacentral:rRNA from 1 species